CAGCAGCCGCGGUAAUACGAAGGGUGCAAGCGUUACUCGGAAUUACUGGGCGUAAAGCGUGCGUAGGUGGUGGUUUAAGUCCGUUGUGAAAGCCCUGGGCUCAACCUGGGAAUUGCAGUGGAUACUGGGUCACUAGAGUGUGGUAGAGGAUAGUGGAAUUUCCGGUGUAGCAGUGAAAUGCGUAGAGAUCGGAAGGAACAUCUGUGGCGAAGGCGACUAUCUGGGCCAACACUGACACUGAGGCACGAAAGCGUGGGGAGCAAACAGGAUUAGAUACCCCUGUAGUCCCUGUCUCUUAUAU
rnacentral:rRNA from 1 species